CUUAGCUAAAUUACAUAAAUAGUACUAUUUAGUUCUAAAAGAUGACGUUAUCUUAUCGUACUUAGAUUUUCUAUCAUAAACCAGAGCGAUUAUAAAAUAUUCCUCUGUGUGAAGCAUGUUAUUCGUUAACCUCGAUUGCAAUAAAACACAUACACGUUUACUAUUCUAUCGUCUCUUGGUAGUAAAUACACUUUUACUAUCUAAUGGAAAUUUUACAUAGUACAACUUUUCAAAACAACAAUCGAACAUUGGAACUUUGUCGUAAAAUACAAAAA
rnacentral:lncRNA from 1 species